AAAUAAAACAUAAGGAUGCAACAAAACACUGAAAAAAUAGCUUACACUUCCACACUUUAUGGAGGUUUUCACAGCAGUCAUGAAAGGGUCAAUGAAAGGAGUGUGGGGCUGUAGAAAACACUAGGAGGAACUAGCAGCUCUUUGCUACCCAGUUUUGAGAGCCUCUCCAAGAAAGCCAGAAAGUACUAAAAUGAUCCUGAUAUUGUUGCUGGUUUUUAUGGCUGCUAAGCUCUGAUCUUACUGGAAGAUGGGAUCAACGCUUCUCAGGAAGAGCUUCCACAAGUGCAAGAUCACAUUGAAAUGGAAGAAGGGUGUCUCUUGUUCCCAGGUUUCAUCCAGUUUGGUAAAAUUGCUGGAUCUACUCCUACUGCAAGCAGACAAAGUUAUCCAUUUUCCUUCUCCUUCAGUCAUACUGUCAUAUACCUGCAUGUAAGUUAUGUCACUGUACCUUGUCUAGACUUAUUAGUUAAAUAAAUAAAUAAAUAAAAUGGUUAUGGGUAAGGUG
rnacentral:lncRNA from 1 species